GAUGAACGCUGGCGGCGUGCUUAACACAUGCAAGUCGAGCGAUGAAGUUUCCUUCGGGAAAUGGAUUAGCGGCGGACGGGUGAGUAACACGUGGGUAACCUGCCUCAUAGAGUGGAAUAGCCUUCCGAAAGGAAGAUUAAUACCGCAUAAUGUUGAAAGAUGGCAUCAUCAUUUAACCAAAGGAGCAAUCCGCUAUGAGAUGGACCCGCGGCGCAUUAGCUAGUUGGUGGGGUAACGGCCUACCAAGGCGACGAUGCGUAGCCGACCUGAGAGGGUGAUCGGCCACAUUGGGACUGAGACACGGCCCAGACUCCUACGGGAGGCAGCAGUGGGGAAUAUUGCACAAUGGGGGAAACCCUGAUGCAGCAACGCCGCGUGAGUGAUGAAGGUUUUCGGAUCGUAAAGCUCUGUCUUUGGGGAAGAUAAUGACGGUACCCAAGGAGGAAGCCACGGUUAACUACGUGCCAGCAGCCGCGGUAAUACGUAGGUGGCGAGCGUUAUCCGGAUUUACUGGGCGUAAAGGGAGCGUAGGCGGAUGAUUAAGUGGGAUGUGAAAUACCCGGGCUCAACUUGGGUGCUGCAUUCCAAACUGGUUAUCUAGAGUGCAGGAGAGGAGAGUGGAAUUCCUAGUGUAGCGGUGAAAUGCGUAGAGAUUAGGAAGAACACCAGUGGCGAAGGCGACUCUCUGGACUGUAACUGACGCUGAGGCUCGAAAGCGUGGGGAGCAAACAGGAUUAGAUACCCUGGUAGUCCGCGCCGUAAACGAUGAAUACUAGGUGUGGGGGUUUCAACACCUCCGUGCCGCCGCUAACGCAUUAAGUAUUCCGCCUGGGGAGUACGGUCGCAAGAUUAAAACUCAAAGGAAUUGACGGGGACCCGCACAAGUAGCGGAGCAUGUGGUUUAAUUCGAAGCAACGCGAAGAACCUUACCUACACUUGACAUCCCUUGCAUUACUCUUAAUCGAGGAAAUCCCUUCGGGGACAAGGUGACAGGUGGUGCAUGGUUGUCGUCAGCUCGUGUCGUGAGAUGUUGGGUUAAGUCCCGCAACGAGCGCAACCCUUGUCGUUAGUUACUACCAUUAAGUUGAGGACUCUAGCGAGACUGCCUGGGUUAACCAGGAGGAAGGUGGGGAUGACGUCAAAUCAUCAUGCCCCUUAUGUGUAGGGCUACACACGUGCUACAAUGGCUGGUACAGAGAGAUGCAAUACCGCGAGGUGGAGCCAAACUUAAAAACCAGUCUCAGUUCGGAUUGUAGGCUGAAACUCGCCUACAUGAAGCUGGAGUUACUAGUAAUCGCGAAUCAGAAUGUCGCGGUGAAUACGUUCCCGGGUCUUGUACACACCGCCCGUCACACCAUGAGAGUUGGCAAUACCCGAAGUCCGUGAGCUAACCGCAAGGAGGCAGCGGCCGAAGGUAGGGUCAGCGAUUGGGGUG
rnacentral:rRNA from 1 species